GCUAUUUCUCCAGCCCAUAGUAAAUAUUUUUAAAAAGUAGUUAACAUGGGCUGGAGAGAUGGCUUAGCAGU
rnacentral:miRNA from 1 species